rnacentral:rRNA from 1 species
AGAGAGAGACAUGCGCGCAUAUCAAUAAGCGGAGGAAAAGAAACUAACUAGGAUUCCCUCAGUAACGGCGAGUGAAGCGGGAAGAGCUCAAAUUUGAAAUCUUCAAGGUUCUACCUUGACGAAUUGUAGUUUAAAGAAGUGUUUUCUGUUGGAGUUUUGGUAAAAGUUCUUUGGAAUAGGACAUCAUAGAGGGUGAGAAUCCCGUAUUUGACCAUUAUUUCCAGCUUUGUGAUACACUUUCAAAGAGUCGGAUUGUUUGGGAAUGCAGUCCAAAAUGGGUGGUAAAUUUCAUCUAAAGCUAAAUAUUGGCGAGAGACCGAUAGCGAACAAGUACCGUGAGGGAAAGAUGAAAAGAACUUUGAAAAGAGAGUUAAACAGUACGUGAAAUUGUCAAAAGGGGAGCGUUUGACACCAGUGUUGUUUUCUCGAAAAUCAAUUAAAAAAGGCAGGAUUUUGUGUUGUAUUGACUUUAUCAGCUUUCUGCACUCUUUUCUUGUCUUUUUUAAUGCACUUUUCGUUUAACAAGUCAACAUCAAUUUCUUUUGUUGUAAAAGGGUCAUUGGAAGGUGGCUUUCUUUUCGGAGAAAGUGUUUAUAGCCUUUGGCCUCUGCAAUCGGAGAGAUUGAGGUCUGCAGCGUAGAUCCUUCGGGGUUAGAUACAUUUGUGCUAAGUUAUAGCCUUUCAUAGACAACUUGUUGACUAUGAUCAGUCAUGUAGCUUACUCGCUUAUGCUAUUUUACCUACGCUUAGGAUGUUGAUGUGAUACUGCGAGCA